CAUUAUAAUGCGUACAGCGCUACCUAGUUGAUAGUAGUGCGUUAAAAAUGUUUUCACGCGAAAAGUGACAAAUGACAUGAUCGAUGAUGUUACACCGCGCAAAGAGGAGAUUUUAGGCGCGCGAAUACCGCAAUCGGAAUCGUCACGAUCAAUACAAUAUGGUUACCUGAUGCAACUUGUUGGUUUAUGGCAGAUACCCCGGACCUGCCCUGGACUAACCGUACUGUCAAGUAUUUGAUCCUCCAGUCCUAUGAGAUAUUACAGCCUGGAAUUGUGUCAUCACAACAAAAAAGUUAGCCAACGUUCAAUUAGGGACAUCAUUUAAGUGGUUCGAUGAUUAUUAUAUUGAAAAUUCCUAUGGAACCGUUUUUUACUCUAAACUUUUCCUGGUGAAUUAUACACCCGUAGCACAUCGUUCAGGCAUGGUGUGUUACGAACAGAAAAUUUCUCAACCAAAGGAAAACAGGAAAUUUUAAUGAGAAAAUCUAUACCGAAUUUAUUCAACGAUACAACUAGCGAAUAAAAUGUAAUGAAAAGGGGGUUUUAACUCAAUCGAAUUCGUGCUCUGUUUUAAAAGUUCACUCCCACCGUAAAGAUACAGAUUCUAGUAUAUUUGUUUCUACAGAAACAUGGCGCAAUAUCCACUUGUUUACUUGCAUUAUUAUUGCUGAACGUAUUAUAUCAUAUCAUAUUUCCACUUGUGUAAUGUAAUAAAUAUCUUUAUUAGAUAAGACCUGUUGUAUUUUUUCAGUCAUAAAUGCAGACAACCGAAUCGUACAACUCAAAUAGUGUUGGUUAAACUAGAAAC